GGCAUGGGCUGCACGGUGGCGCAGUUGGUAGCACUGUUGCCUUGCACCAAGAAGGUCCUGGGUUCAAUUCCCAACCAGGGGUCU